AUGGGUGAUAGGUUGCAAGGAAGGUUAAAGUAUCUAAGAACCAGCAUUAAAAAUAGGAUUUGAUAAAAGUAAAGUUACAUCACAGGCAUUUGGUUAUGGUCGUAGAAAGCUAACAAGCACUGAUGGUGUUUCCUCAAUCCAAUAGAAGUAGCCCUAGGGAGGACUUGAAGUCCCUCUGGCCAGAGCACAUAGCUUUUUAAUUAACUGCCUUGGACCCAGAUAUAAGCGCAGUAUGUAACUUUGGGGAACCUACAGUUGACAACACUGGGUUUUUACUAGAAUGGAGACUUUAUUUUCUGGAAAUAAUCUGAGAUAUAAACAUACUUUGUUUUUGAUUAAGGGCAAAGGUAUGACAUGGUCUCAUGAGACUCAAUCAAGUGAAUGAAAUUGGGACUAGAGCCUGCUGGAUACUAUCCAGUGCGUGCGAGGAAGAUGUCGGAGAUGCUUGGGGAUGAGCUCACCCCGAAACCUACACACAGACACCAUCCUGGUAGAUCCACUCUGCAAGCGUUGCUCUCCCUGCGGCAGGACUGACUGGAUCCAGGGGACACCACAGCAGAGGAGCAGAGGAGCGUCUGCUUUGAAGAGAAAACAGACUUUUUAUUAGAAGUCACUGGAAAGAAGUUACCUUUGCCUCUAAGAAGGCUGGGAUGACACUCAAUAAAAUCCAACUGUCUGCAUGUGCCAUAUUUUCACUUUCCAUUCACCAGUCAAUAGACAUCUAGGCUGAUGUGACUUCCUCCAGAAUAUAGAAAACUACAGCAACCAUGAACGUGAGUAUGUGGGUGUCUCUGUAGUGGGGUGGGGAAAGUCUGAGAACAUUUGAGCUACACAGUGAGAGUCUGUCUGGAAAAAGAUCUAUUUCAGCACCGUUCUCUCCCACUUCUGCCUGUGGAAGCCAUCUCUGUCUGUUUCUUCUGAUUACAGGCUACAUUUUCUUCGCUGUGGCAAGUCCGAUGGUUUUUCUCAUCCCUGGGAUUUCAGAUACUGUGAAUGUAAUGUUGCUGGAUGGAUGGCUGUUUGCUUUCCUUUAAAUAAUCUUGAGUUUGCUCUGACUAACAAGCUAGUUGCUUUUCCACCUGAUUCUAUCCAGACUGGUCUCAGCUUUUCUAUACACAGCUCCACUGCAGGGGCUGCUCGAGUUUACUAAGGGAUGCCCUGCGAACUUGACCAAAUACCUUGAGUGACCAACGAGAGCUUCCUGGCUAAAUGGCUAAUGGUUUAGCUGUGCCCUGCUCUGAGAACUGGCAAGUCCCCGCCCAUGCUAUGUUCUGGCUUGUGGGAUCUUUUAUCCCACGUGUGCUCAGUCUAAUAGUUUGCAAAGACACCCGACUUAUCCUGUGCAGACUGCGGUAGCUCCAUUUUGCACAGUGUUCUCUUUCAGAAGGCGCACAUCUUAAGUUCCAGUCUCCUUCUCAGUAAACCUACUGUACUUGGGUUGAGUCUUUUCCUGCAUUUUGGCCUGAAAACUGUGUGAACCAGCCAAGGUUGGUAGUGGAAUCUAUCGUUUCAUUUUUAUAUCCUAAGCAUCAGGGCUCUGAGGUCUGAGCUCCUCUGUCUGUGAAUAGUUGCCCACAGAUUUUGUCCAGUUUCUUGGCUGCUUGCAGCAGAGAGACAAAUCUGGUUCCUGGGACUCAUCCUUAAAGGAAACAGGACAAGGGAAUGGCUUAAAAUUUGAAUCCAAACAGAGCUAGUAAGACACCAGAGUCAGUAUGACUCCAGUCUUUUACUCUUGACGUUGUUGGUGACUGUCUCUCAUCCCAUUGGUGCAAGAUGACUUUACACGCUGACAUGAUUGGCUAAUUAGCUCAAAGGGGAAGAGAAAAUUUCAGGAGAUUUAAAUCUUUGCCAAGGGACCUACAGUUGCUUUGGUCUACUGAAUCAAAGUUGAGUUUUGUUUUUGUUUUGUCUGCUUU
rnacentral:sRNA from 1 species